rnacentral:tRNA from 1 species
AGGAAGGUAGUUAACUAUAACAUUUGAUUUGCAUUCAAAAAGUAUUGGGUAUCCAAUUCUUCUUA